rnacentral:rRNA from 1 species
UACGUAGGGGGCUAGCGUUGUCCGGAAUCAUUGGGCGUAAAGAGCGCGUAGGCGGCCAGAUAAGUCCGGUGUGAAAGUCACAGGCUCAACCUGUGAAUGCCGCUGGAAACUGUCUGGCUAGAGUCCGGGAGGGGCGAGUGGAAUUCCUGGUGUAGCGGUGAAAUGCGCAGAUAUCAGGAGGAACACCAAAGGCGAAGGCAGCUCGCUGGAACGGUACUGACGCUGAGGCGCGAAAGCUAGGGGAGCAAACGGG